AUUGAACGCUGGCGGCAUGCCUUACACAUGCAAGUCGAACGGUAACAGGUCUUCGGAUGCUGACGAGUGGCGAACGGGUGAGUAAUACAUCGGAACGUGCCCGAUCGUGGGGGAUAACGAAGCGAAAGCUUUGCUAAUACCGCAUAAGAUCUACGGAUGAAAGCAGGGGACCGCAAGGCCUUGCGCGAACGGAGCGGCCGAUGGCAGAUUAGGUAGUUGGUGGGAUAAAAGCUUACCAAGCCGACGAUCUGUAGCUGGUCUGAGAGGACGACCAGCCACACUGGGACGGAGACACGGCCCAGACGCCUACGGGAGGCAGCAGUGGGGAAUUUUGGACAAUGGGCGAAAGCCUGAUCCAGCCAUGCCGCGUGCAGGAUGAAGGCCUUCGGGUUGUAAACUGCUUUUGUAUGGAACGAAAAGACUCUUUCUAAUAAAGAGGGUCCAUGACGGUACCGUAAGAAUAAGCACCGGCUAACUACGUGCCAGCAGCCGCAGUAAAAC
rnacentral:rRNA from 1 species